rnacentral:rRNA from 1 species
CAGCCGCCACGGUAAUACAGAGGGUGCGAGCGUUAAUCGGAAUUACUGGGCGUAAAGCGCGCGUAGGUGGUUUGUUAAGUUGGAUGUGAAAGCCCCGGGCUCAACCUGGGAACUGCAUCCAAAACUGGCAAGCUAGAGUACGGUAGAGGGUGGUGGAAUUUCCUGUGUAGCGGUGAAAUGCGUAGAUAUAGGAAGGAACACCAGUGGCGAAGGCGACCACCUGGACUGAUACUGACACUGAGGUGCGAAAGCGUGGGGAGCAAACAGGAUUAGAUACCCCUGUAGUCCCUGUCUCUUAUAC